CAUAAACCCAUGUUAUUACCUGGUUAAAUCGAGGUAAUAACUCCUUUCCUCUCACCGAGCCAUUGUUCUCCAACCCUUCUUCUCUAGUGUUCCCUGUCAUCGAACCCUUCUUCUCAUCGAGCCAUUCUUCUCGAGCCUUUCCUCUCCCUGUUUGGAGCCAUCAUCUUCGUUUCUCGAACCAUCAUCUUCAUGCCUCGACACUCUUGUGCUCUUUAGCUGCUCAUAUCACGCCCUCUUCUCUCUUGUUGAUGUUAGCGUCGCUCUUUCUGUUCUCUAUGGCUCACAGACCCGUCUUUGUUCUUUGCAGGUUGAAAAUCCCAAAUUCUGAAUGGUUUUUUCCAACUCCAAAACUCUAGUUUGGUUUCUUCCAACUCCAAUGGAGCUUCACUUCUCAAAGUCGAUGGCCUUAAAAUUCCCUACAUAUCUGAUGAGAAUGCCGACGAAGAUCCCGAACUUAAUGACGAAGGACCGGUAGGGAAGAGGAUGAAGGACACCAUGCUUUCCAUGGGGAACCCUUGAUCUUGGAGAAGGUUAGAGUUUGGGGCAGAGGCAGUCCUAUUAAUGACGAAUUGGAGAACAAGAAGUUGGCGCUGUCUCCCUCGCCAUCAUCAACGCGUUUUGUUUCCAUUGGAUAAGUCGUCUGUAAUGAUUUAUGGGUGCUUGGCGACUCUUAUAAAAGGGAAGAGGAAAUCUUGGCGCUGGUUUAGAACACUUAUUUUUUAGUACAUGCGAGGUAAAUUGGUUGUGGAUAAAUCUCCCAGCAAAUGCUCCACAGUUGGUGUCAAAGGCAUUGCUUGGUCAUUUGGUGGAAUGGUCUUUGCGGGUGGUAUCUCAAGUUAGAAAUACAAGCAAACUCAGUACUUAAUACUAUAUUAUAUUAGUAUAUGAGCUUGAUUUUCAGUAAAUUGGUAUGCUGGUGGACUAUAAUAAAUGUCCAAUUGAUUUUGUGAUUUUUUUCUCUAUGCAAUUUGUGAUAAAUAUAUCUUGUGUUUUUUUUCUCUCUAA